rnacentral:rRNA from 1 species
CCAUGGUUUUUUUUAAAAAAGGGUUUCUUCACUUUGGGAUGGCCCCGGGCGUAUUAGCUAGUUGUGAGGCUAAGGCUCACCAAGGCAGUGAUACGUAGCCGACCUGAGAGGGUAAUCGGCCACAUUGGGACUGAGACACGGCCCAGAUUCUUACGGGAGGCAGCAGUAGGGAAUCUUCCCCAAUGGACGCAAGUCUGAUGGAGCAACGCCGCGUGAGUGAAGAAGGGUUUCGGCUCGUAAAGUUCUGUUGUUAAAGAAGAACGUGGGUAAGAGUAACUGUUUACCCAGUGACGGUAUUUAACCAGAAAGCCACGGCUAACUACGUGCCAGCAGCCGCGGUAAUACGUAGGUGGCAAGCGUUAUCCGGAUUUAUUGGGCGUAAAGCGAGCGCAGGCGGUCUUUUAAGUCUAAUGUGAAAGCCUUCGGCUCAACCGAAGAAGUGCAUUGGAAACUGGGAGACUUGAGUGCAGAAGAGGACAGUGGAACUCCAUGUGUAGCGGUGAAAUGCGUAGAUAUAUGGAAGAACACCAGUGGCGAAGGCGGCUGUCUGGUCUGCAACUGACGCUGAGGCUCGAAAGCAUGGGUAGCGAACAGGAUUAGAUACCCUGGUAGUCCAUGCCGUAAACGAUGAUUACUAAGUGUUGGAGGGUUUCCGCCCUUCAGUGCUGCAGCUAACGCAUUAAGUAAUCCGCCUGGGGAGUACGACCGCAAGGUUGAAACUCAAAAGAAUUGACGGGGGCCCGCACAAGCGGUGGAGCAUGUGGUUUAAUUCGAAGCUACGCGAAGAACCUUACCAGGUCUUGACAUCUUCUGACAGUCUAAGAGAUUAGAGGUUCCCUUCGGGGACAGAAUGACAGGUGGUGCAUGGUUGUCGUCAGCUCGUGUCGUGAGAUGUUGGGUUAAGUCCCGCAACGAGCGCAACCCUUAUUACUAGUUGCCAGCAUUAAGUUGGGCACUCUAGUGAGACUGCCGGUGACAAACCGGAGGAAGGUGGGGACGACGUCAAAUCAUCAUGCCCCUUAUGACCUGGGCUACACACGUGCUACAAUGGAUGGUACAACGAGUCGCGAAACCGCGAGGUUAAGCUAAUCUCUU